GUGGGUAUAGCUCAGUGCUAGAGCGCAUGAUUGGGAUGCAUGAAGUCCUGGGUUCCAUCCCCAAGUACCAUCA
rnacentral:tRNA from 1 species